GGGGUUGGAACUGGAUGAGCUUUAAGGUCCUUUCCAACCCAAACCAGUCUGUGAUUGUAUGUCCAUAGAGACAUAAAUCAACCUUGAAAAAACUGAGAGAAUGGAUGAGAGAUUGUAAGACCUCUCAGCAUGGUAUGGGAGCAGCCAAGCUAACUUGCCUUCCUGUUUUCUUAUGUGUGCUUGCUGUCUGUGUCGGCAUGGCUUACCCAGCUGACUAGGUGAUCUCUUGAGUGGCAUGUAGGAGGUAGACUAGGUUUAGAGCAGCGGGUUGUAGAAUUCCCUGUGCUGAACAUCAUCCCAGCUCAUGCUGGUCUCUGUGUCAGGGAAGGGGGGAUCAUCCACUCACCAAGCGAGAGAUUGAACUAAUCUCUGUUAGGCUUAAGGGGACUGGAGUUACCUGAAAUAACGUGUGAAAGGUCUCUCCUUUGUAAGGGAGAACACUCAAAGAACUGCAUGUUUUGUGAAAUAACCCUUUCUAGUUACAGCUGAUUCCAGUGCAAUAAAGUACUUUAUUAAUUCAAGAAGAUACUUCACCGAAAGGAGACGUGAAGAGUUUUACAGGCUCGCGGGAAGUCUUGGCUAAAGUCCAGUAGUGGUAUAGCUCAGGAAAAAUGGGGUCCCAAGGUUUUUAUUACAUACUUUGGCUCCUCCUGGAGGUAAGUACAAUGCAUUUGCUCAGCAUAUUGCCUCACAGUAACUACACAGGUGCAGUAGUCUGUUUGCCCCAGGAUACACUUGAACGGUGGAGGAAGGAUGUUAUGAGGUGUUCUGUGAUGCAGUUACUUCACCUGAACCUUGCAACCUUUUGAGAUGUGUUGGUGUUACAGCAAUGUGCCAUUUUCCUGCUGUUUAAAUCCACACUGCUCUAACUUUCAGUAGCAGUUGCAUACACCUGAAAGAAUUCUGAAUUACAAGCACAGCUGCUUCUGCUGCUUUUCUACUCUGCUCCUUCUAUGUGCAGACACUUAGGUUAGGUGUGCCUUUAACCCUAUGCUUGUAUCAUGCAGCUGAUACCAAGUAAUGAUGGUAAGUGUUGUAAGGGGCUAACUGGGGGGAAGCUUGGUUCUCUCUUCUAUACCUUGCAGAGUAUGUGUGAGAUCUGUCUGCUGGCUCAGUGAGUGUGCUUUGUUACUUAAACUGCUUGAGAAACAACUGGUUUCACCUCUGUUGAUACCCUUCUUCUCCCUUUCUGUCAGUGCUGCUGGUCAGAGGAGGAAACAAGGAUGCAUCCUGCUUCCCAGAUUAUUUGUUUAUACUCUGUUUCUUUGGGGAUGGAGAUGCCACUGAUGUCUCAGCUAAGAGUUGCUAUAGCGUGUUGAAAUGUAGAAAAAAGGAAUUAACUUCAGAAAAGACCCAAAAUAAUGCCUGAUGGAGGAGACAGUAGUUUGUUGUGUGCGUACAGUUCACUCUCAUUAGUUUGGGGUAUCUGAUACUUGUCAGUGUAUGUCUCUUACUCACUGAUCACAACUUGUCAGAGAUGUUAAUGAUGAAGCCCGUGUUACAUGUCUCAAACCUGGAUGCUUUGGUCACCUGAAAGUGCUAAUGUCUGAGUCUGUUCUUACCCAACAGGCCUUCAUUGCACGAUCCCCAAGAAGCUUGCAGUGUCUUGCAGAAACAAGCGUUGUUUCAGCAUUUCUUAAGACAGAAGGUGACGAUAGAAUUGAGAGUCUUUGGCAUUUCUUAAAUACAUGGGUAUGCUCUGGGUUAAUACUGUUAACUAAAACUUGCUCUGACAUCCUGCACUGCAGAAACUAUGGGUUGUCUUUGCUGCGGAAGUGAUUUUGGUCACAGUGGACUCAGGUAAGGAACCACCCAGGGUCCGGAACACCAGGAGAAGCAUUUGGAAGACCCUGGAGGAGAGAAUCACAGAAUGGUUGAGGUUGGAAGAUGCAGAAGAUGAGGAUAAGUAGGAAUGUGUGAUGCUUUUGCUCAGAGGGGAAAUUGCUUACUCUUUUAAGUUCAUACAUAGAAACCUGGGUUUGUAUCUCGACUUUCAUGCUCACAACUUCUUCUUCUUCAUGAAAACUUAAAGGGUUUGAUACUCUCAGUUGAGCCUUCCCUGGGUAGUACACCAAAACCAUGCAGUCUGUGUGAGGGACACACACAUGUAUGAGCUCAAGUGUACAAAUACGUGAUAACACUGUUUUUAAGGUGUCUGAUGUUCUGCUGUCACGAUGUCAACAUCCAUGUGAGUGCAGUGUGGAGAACUGGAGGGAUGUUGGGGUUGUCUCAGUUCUUGCAAAUCAAUGGUCAGGCCGUAUGUAAUUCCUAAUAUGUGGAUUAGGUGGAUGAAAAGAUGUUCAGGUGCGCUCAGAGUGGAAUAUGGUUUCUAAGGGUGAUUGGUAUGAUCUAUGCUAUUUUUGACCCAUAAGUUUUGUUUUGAAAUCCCAUGUUCUUUAUUAUCCCAGCUGUAAAUUGUAGUUGUCUACAGUCCCCUUGGAGGAAGGAGGAGAGUUGAAGUGUUGCUCACCAACUGCUUACUCCAAAGCCUGUGGGGGCAUGGUGUAAACUCCUUCAUGUUAAAGUCACUGUUAGAGCCUGGAGGCUGAAGAAACUGCUGCGAGGGAUUUUUGUUUGCAAUUGUCUCCCAUGGAGCUGUUUCCCAAAGAGUUGGCAGAGCUGCAAGGUGAGAAUUCAACUGAGUGGAACAGGUGAGUACCUCUGUAUUGUGUUACUGGUGCCAGGUAUCUUAAUGGUAACAUUACGGAUAAACACACUGUGUUGUCUGCCCUGUCCUUAAACAGGGAAAGCUUGGAAGAACACAGGUAAGAGUGGAAGACUUCUGUGCCCCUUCAAGUGUUCUCAAUGAAAUUGUGGGGAGGCAGCUGUUAAACUGAUGUCUGGAAGAACCUACUAUUCUUGCCUACCCAAAAUGGUUUGUAAAGCUGCUCUGAAAGUAAUUCUGUAUGAAGUGUUCUCUUUUUUUAUCUUUCAGCACAAGAAGAGUGCUAAGAGCAGUCAAGAACCUCUUCAGAUAGCAUGGACAUGUUCUUCAAGUGAAACAUGGGAGCAGUUUGGUAGCAGUUGCACUACAGGAAAGUGUGCAGGCUGCUGCAGGUCCCUGGGUUCAUAAGUGGUUUGUAGGGGAAAUGUGGACAUGUGGAGAGUGUGACAACCAUAACCAGAGAACCCGGUUUCUGAAGUGGAGAGCUUCAUGUUUUGGGACGUUCAUUUCAAGGGAAGGCUGGAGCAGGAGGAAGAGUCAGGCUGCAGCUAAACCUUCCAGCCCACACACGGGAACAGGAAGAUCCUGUUUGAAGAAUCAGGGAAGAGGCUGCUCUGGAUGGCAAGAGAGCUCCGUGUUCCCGUUGGCUUUCUCUGCAAUUGAUUUUCCAGUGUUAGAGAAAGGAUCAGAUGUUUCUCUGCCAGUCACAUCCCAGAUCACCAUCAGCACUUGUGCAGGCUGAAAACUCCUUAUGGACAUCACUUCCAGUGUCCCUAGUGGGUUAAUGUAAGGCUGUGAUGGGCCAGGGGAGGCAGAUCUGGCUCCCACAACCUUCAGCAGAUGCAGCUGACGACCAGAGAAGACAAAUGACAACCUUUGAUCCUGGCUCGCUGCUGUUUGUAGUCUGUCUGCCUUCUGGUAGUGAUGAAGACAUCACAAUUAAAAUGUUACCCAAAUUAUAAGCUGUCAGACUCUCUCGCAAAGCUUUGCAGGGCAAUAUAGGUUAGUACAUUUGUCUAGACACACUAAACAUCCUUUUCAGGAUGUCAGUGUUUGAAUUUUUCAUAAUCAUCAAUCAUAAUCAUAUAUUACUAAAUAUAUUCAGCUUGUCUUAAGACUUUCUGAGGCUGUGAAACCCAUCUUGGAGAAGUUACAAUAUGCAGAAUUUGGUAUGUACAGAAAUGUCAGUAGAUGGUUUUUCCUCCUGCUCUAGUCACCACCAGGCAUUGGAAGAGUAAACUGAGAUUUUCUGUGCUUUCCCAAGUGUGUAAUUCCAAUGUUUCCUACAUUUUGCCCUGAUGAACAAGACCAGACUCUCUGCAUUCAGAGUAACCUGGGUGCUUAGCUCGAAACAGGAGAUAAUCCAGUUAGAAAAGGCUUAUGCUUGUUUGGUCAGAGGUCACCAAGGUACAACUCUAAAUGUGAGUAAGAGUGAGGGAAGCUGCAGGAGACCUGUGUAACCUGCACGAGGAGUGAGCUGGUGGGCAAUGGAGGCCUGCUUUAUAUCUAAAAGUUUGUCUGAUUUAGCAAUACCAGGACUACAACAACAUCCCCCAUCAAUACAGCUUUGCUGGUGAAACCUGCAGGUGUAGUUUCAACAACAAAACAUCUUUCUCAGUUCUGAUAGAAGCAAUACAUAGCUAUUAAAGUGAUUUCAAUGGGAUCCCAGCUCUAGGAGGGUUUACCAGCUCUUCUGUAGCUACAUUGGCAAACUUUCUCACCAAGGCUGUUCUACAUAUCAGCUACUGAGGAGUGUGAGGCUGCUGACAGCAGAGCUGCUUUGGAGGCUUGACGGGCGUAUAAAGCUUUUCAUCUUUGGGCAGCCCACAGAGAAACACUGUCUGCUUCCUGAAGUGAAUCUCUGCUGGAGAACAAAGGACUUCAGCUCAUACACAGAGGGGUAAUUUACAUCUCAUUAAACCAAUAGUUUAAAAUCUA